UACGUAGGUGGCAAGCGUUGUCCGGAUUUACUGGGCGUAAAGAGCGCGCAGGCGGUUGUGCAAGUCGCGUGUGAAAGCCCCCCGGCUCAACUGGGGAGGGUCACGCGAUACUGCUCAACUCGAAGGCAGGAGAGGGAAGUGGAAUUCCCCGGUGUAGUGGUGAAAUGCGUAGAUAUCGGGAGGAACACCAGUGGCGAAGGCGACUUCCUGGCCUGUUCUUGACGCUGAGGCGCGAAAGCUAGGGUAGCAAACGGG
rnacentral:rRNA from 1 species